ensembl:snRNA U6 U6 spliceosomal RNA
GUGCUUGGAUUGGCAGCAUAUAUACUAAAAUUUGAACAAUACAGAGAAGAUUGGCAUGGCCCCUGUGCAAGGAUGACAUGCAAAUUCAUGAAGCAUUCCAUAUAUUU